UACGUAGGGCGCAAGCGUUAUCCGGAAUUAUUGGGCGUAAAGAGCUCGUAGGCGGUUUUGUCGCGUCUGCCGUGAAAGUCCGGGGCUCAACUCCGGAUCUGCGGUGGGUACGGGCAGACUAGAGUGAUGUAGGGGAGACUGGAAUUCCUGGUGUAGCGGUGAAAAUGCGCAGAUAUCAGGAGGAACACCGGUGGCGAAGGCGGUCUGCUGGGCAGUUGCUGACACUGAGGCGCGACAGCGUGGGGAGCAAACAGG
rnacentral:rRNA from 1 species